rnacentral:pre_miRNA from 1 species
AUAAUACUCCCUCCGUCCCAGAAUUUUUGUCUUAGAUUUGUCUAGAUACAGAUGUAUCUAAUACUAAAAUGUGAUUUGAUACAUCCAUAUUUAGACAAAUCUAAUACAAGAAUUUUGAGACAGAGGGAGUACAUA